AUGGGCAAAUCUUGGCUUUGGGCCCUGUUUCCUGCGACGAUGACGAUGAUGGCGUACAUCACUGUAACGACGGCUACCUCGACCUCGGUACCGUCCCUCUCUACGAUUACCAGCACCGAAAUCCUCGAUACAAAAAGGGCGGGUAUCGAAGAAGCUCUGGACGUGAUAGAAGCGGCAUCAACCGGAUCAUUGGGUGAAGAUUGUGCCACGACAGCUGGUUUUAAAUCUUUACCAGCUGCCGUAGCACUUGAUCCUCGACGUUACGAUACCGCACGUCAAAAAGCUGACAUGACAGCCCUGAUGCUCCAAAAUCUUGGCACUGUCGGGGUGUCAAGGCAUAAUACGCUUUUAGAUGUGCUAGCAAAGUCGUUACUGAUGUCAGUGAACGACGCCGUGGAGACAAGGGUGAUCGCACUAAACGCGUCCACGGGUGCAGUAAUUAGUGCAGUCUGGUUGGAAAGAAGCCCGGGAAGUGUCGGAGAACCAUUCAAGGUCGAGAGCCAUGGACUCCAGCCGGGAUCUAUACCGGAUUCUAAUUUACCGUGGUUCGAAAAUGCGGGUGCCACCACAGAAUUAAGGUCACCGAAAUUCAUGCAGUCACCGGCGAUUGAAUCCUACAGGGGUUGGUGGACCAUCCCGUAUUUCUCCUGCAAAAGUCAUCGAUGGUUGAUUUCGUACAGUGUUAACAUACGACCGCCAGACGCUCGCCACGGGGUUCGUGAAUUUUUAAGCGUAGAUAUCGAUAUUAGCGGGCUAGAAGUAAAUCAAUGUGAUCCAUCGCCGCAUAGCAAUGAGAAUGAAAUUCUAAGUAAUCAAAUAGCAUCUUUUAAAGGCACGCACAAAUGUCAUACCGACACCACUCAGUGUGAAUAUCAAAGUCCGAGCAAUCGUAUAAAUCAAAAUGGCGUCGGCGCUGGUUGGGCAAAGGGUGCAUAUAUAUGCAAAUGUCGAAAAGGUUAUUACGACAAGAACCAACAUCAAUCCGCUUUCAAUGGAAUCCUCGUCGAAACCGCUUGGAAGGAAAUGCAAGAAAACAUAAGCGAUUGGUACAUGACGAUGUUUCGUUGCUUACGUUGUGCCCCGGGAUGCGUUAAAUGUAAGGGGCCGGAACCUUGUCUGGCCACCUACAACUGGCCCUUCCGAAUCGCUCUUUUAUCGUUCUCUAUUUUCUGUGUGUUUGGUACUAUCAUCCUAGUCGUCUACAUGUAUCAACACCGUAAACUCAAAGUGUUCAAGGUUGCUUCGCCGAUAUUUUUGUCUAUCACGCUUUUGGGUUGCGCCAUCAUGUAUCUUGAAAUGGCCGCGAUAUUUCCGGUUUUGGACAUGUAUUCUUGUAUCGCGACCAAAUGGACAAGACAUCUUGGUUUUUGUAUUUCUUAUACCGCAUUGUUGAUGAAAACCUGGAGAGUUUCUCUCACAUACCGUGUAAAAAGCGCGCACAAAGUAAAGCUCACGGACAAACAAUUGCUGCAAUGGAUGGUCCCGAUAUUGUUAGUAAUGUUAAUUUAUCUGGGCACGUGGACGCUCAGCGCACCACCAUACGCUGAAGAGAUAGCCGACAAUUAUGGUCUAAAGUUCAAUCAAUGCUCCUUCAAUUGGUGGGACCAUAGUUUAGCUAUCGGAGAAAUUCUGUUCCUUGCAUGGGGCAUUAAAGUUUGCUACAACGUUCGCAAUGCAGAAAGUCUUUUUAAUGAGGCCCGUUUGAUAAGCUAUGCUAUUUACAAUAUAGCAGCUGUGAACAUAACCAUGAUUGCCAUUCAUCUCUUCAUUUUCCCUCAUGCUGGCCCAGAUAUCAAAUAUUUAUUAGGCUUUCUACGUACACAAUUGUCUACUUCUGUCACUGUGUUUCUUGUAUUUGCGCCAAAGGUGAUUCGAGUUUUACGUGGUCAAGGAGAUCAAUGGGAUAGCCGUGCUAGAGCACGAGGUGUCACAGCGAGUUUCUCUUUAAAUGGAAUCGGUUUAGUAUCCGAGGAAGCGACAGAUUUGCAUCAAGAAAACGAAGAACUGAAGGAAGAAAUUCAGAAAUUAGCGGCACAGAUCGAAUUCAUGAAGAUCGUACACAUGGAAAUGUACAAUCGUCACAUCAAACCGAAAGCAGGUGGCUACUUUAGUACCCAUGGACACGGGCAUAGUCAUCCGUCCUCGGCGCAGAGUCCAAUUGCCAAAAGUUCGACAGCCAGUUUUAUAUUGAAAUAAAUUAUUGAGCAGACGGCCGUGGAGCGAGGAGCGAGUGCGGCCGCGGCUGCCGCGGUCGAAGAUUCCACUUUUCCUUCUGGAAGUUUGCACAGAGCGCGUAGAAUGGAAAUACUUAGAGAACGAAAAGCGGAAAGGGGCAGAGAACGAGAGAAAGAGCGGGAGAAGGAGAGAGAGAAGGAACAAGAGAAAUAUAUGGAGAAGGAUAAGGAGAGAGAGAAGGAGAAAGAAAGUGGAAAGGAAAAGAAGAUUGAAAAAGAGAAGGAAACAGAAAUGGAGAAAGAGGAGAACAAAGAGAGACAAAGAGAGAAAGAAAAGCAGGAUAAAAAGCAAGAUGAUAAUGGUGAAGCGAGUGGAGAAGUUUGACUAGUACUGAAUAGCGAUGAGAUAUGGUUGUGACAAAUUCGAGGAAUUGAGAAAAAUAAAAAAACGAGUGGAAAAUAUGAUGGUGAAAAUAGAAAAGAGAAAAAGAAGAAGAAUCUUAAAUGGUACCUUCUAAUGGACAUUAGGCGUUCAUGGUUUGUAUAAAUCAAAGAACUGUGUAAUCAGUAAAUAGUGAAUAUUAAAUCCGUAUAACGUGUGUGUAUAUAUAUAUGUUUAUAUAUAUAUAUAUAUAUUACGUGUCAUUUGUUUGUGGUGACAAUGUCUUCUUGUUAGCUUUAUUGUAAAUUAUUUAUGUUACCACCAAAUGACACCUUGUUGUACGAAGAAAGCAUAUUAUGUAUAAUGACGAUAAUGAAGAAAUAUCUUUAAUGAUAUAGUUAUACAAAAUUUUUAUUAAUUUCAUUACUCAACGAGUAACGAAAUUCUUAUUAUUUUAAUAGUUAUAAAUGAUUGCGAAUGUAGUAAUAUUACUCUUAGGUAAAAAUAAUCCUGAGAUACCUGUGAAGUAGAAGAACGAAAAUUGUAUUUCUUGUUACCGAAACGAUCACCUUUGUGAUUCAUGUUAAAUCAAAUCGUAAGUUGUGUAGAUCAAUCCAAAUAGUUCAAUGAUUAACGAUCGAUUAUUUUACACGAUUAACGAUGAUUUUGUUCUAGAAUAAUAUAUAUAUGAUUUGAAAAAAUAGUUGAAAGAAAGGAAGAAAAUUGUUCAAUAUAAUUGUAAUAUUAAAUGUGUCAGAAUGUAUUGUAUUAAAAUGUGUUACUUGUGUAGUAGAAAUGACAACAAUGACACAAAUACGAAUCUUAUGAUAAUUAUUUUGACUAUUAUUUUUAAUUUAUAUAUAUAUAUA